rnacentral:rRNA from 1 species
AGUAGUUUGAUCAGUGGCUCGAGGACGAACGCUGGCGGCGUGCUUCAUACAUGCAAGUCGAACGAGAAUCUCUAGCUUGCUAGAGAGGAAAGUGGCGGACGGGCGAGUAAUAUGUAGAGAAUCUGCCCUAGAGUGGGGGACAACCGUUGGAAACGACAGCUAAUACCCCAUAUGAGCGUAGUUGAGAUACUAUUCUUGAAAACUCCGGUGCUCUGGGAUGAGUCUGCAUCUGAUUAGCUAGUUGGGGGUGUAAUGGACCACCAAGGCGAUGAUCAGUAGCUGGUUUGAGAGGAUGAUCAGCCACAAUGGGACUGAGACACGGCCCAUACUCC